AUGUCCGCGCGCAGGAGGCGCUUCGUGUGGCGUGAGGGGGAGGGAGAGAGGGGGACCCAGGGGCGGGGGGUUCCCCUUCCCCUGCUCUGUGAAGCCCUUCUCCUCCGCUGGGACCAGGCCUUCCUCUGCGGCUCCUUGCACUUCGGGCUCCCUGACGAGAGGCUGGGCGGUGUGGGCGGGGUGAGAGGAGAGGGGAGGGGGACCCCAGAGCGCACCCCGGAGCCUGAGGACACAGCACCCGUGGAAGUGGUAGCCUGGAGCACUGAGCCGCCCCCAGCACGGCUCUGCAGCACAAAGCGGCUGGCUUUCAUCCCCCAAAAUGGGAACCUGGCUCGGAACACCUCCGAACGCCUUUACAAAGCGAGUAAUUGCUUAACUGCAAUUAUUUUAGGAGGUUUAACGAGGCUGCAUGGGUGCUCUUUAAGAAUACCUCUUCAGCUUAAAAAUUCCACCCACGGUCCCCUGAGGGUGGGGCCCAGAGGCCUGCCUCCUUCAAGGGGCUCAGCAGUGCCCCAGGCAGGGGGGCAGGGGGGCGGGGGGGGCGGGGCUUCUGGCAAGGCAGUCAGCCCUGCCCAGGGAGGCAGAAGGACCCUAUUGCCAAGGGAACGGCCUCCUUUGCACUCCGAGGAGGCUGGGCCCCUCCUGGAGAGGAUCCACUGGGCCAGAACUCGGUGGGUGGUGGGGGAUAAGGAAGAAGACGGAGGGACGGAGGAAACAGCGAUCGCCUUCACGUCGGGCACCUUUCUGAGCCCCCGCUUCCUUAUGGUAAAGAGCCUUCCCUCUGGGUUCUUGCAAGGGAGACGUGAGCGGCUGCACGGGAGGCACCUGCAUGGGGAUGCUCGCCAGCCCUUGCCGGCCCGGGCCACUUCACCUUCCCGCUCGGCCGUGAGGCUGGUGACACCAGCUUCUGGAAGAGCUGCCCACAUGGAUCGAGCCGCGACAGACGCAAGGAACACUUUAUGUUUGCAGAGUCAACCCCCAAACCACGAAAAGCAGCGUGUGAGACGACAGAAAGAGAUGAGCAGUGAGCACACUCUAGUGAGUUAUUUAAAAACGUGUCACAACCGCAGCGUGUCAGCACCGGCUGGCGCGUCCUCACGUUUGGACUGCUUGCUGGAGAAGGCGUUUUGAGAGAAAGGACAGCUCGGGGUCCAGCUGUCUGACCGGGGCUUUUUAUGAUAUCCCCCCAGAAGAACCCCUCGGGCAAGACUCCUCUGUCCCCAGCCUGCCCUCAAACAGCUUCUCCACGGUAGGACCAAACGAGCCUCUGCUCUGUGUGGACAGAGCUGGGAUGCUCUUAACCACUGUUGCCCCCUGGGGUGCCUGGGCUGGGGUGGGAGACCCCACCACAUCUGGGGCCCCCAGAGGAGAUCCAGGUGGUCACGAGGGCUCCCUGGGAGAGUUCUGGUAUCACUGGAUCACCUGUGAGGCAGGCAAGCCGAGCGUCAUCACACUGUGAGAGGGGUUAGCAGGCUUGUUUCUUACAGCUCAGUUCAGUCGCUCAGGCAUGUCCGACUCUUUGUGACCCCAUGACUGCAGCAUGCCAGGCUUCCCUGUCCAUCACCAACUCCCGGAACUUGCUCAAACUCAUGCCCAUCGAGUCAGUGAUGCCAUCCAACCAUCUCAUCCUCUGUCGUCCCCUUCUCCUACCGCCUUCAAUCUUUCCCCGCAUCAGGGUCUUUUCCAAUGAGUCAGCUCUUCGCAUCAGGUGGCCAAAGUACUGGAGUUUCAGCUUCAGCAUCAGUCCUUCCAGUGAACACCCAGGACUGGUCUCCUUUAGGAUGGACUGGUUGGAUCUCCUUGUAGUCCAAGGGACUCUCCAGAGUCUUCUCCAACACCACAGCUCAAAAGCGUCAAUUCUUCAGCGCUCAGCUUUCUUAUGGCCCACCUUUCACACACCCCCUCAGGCGUCCGCCCACUCACGCAUGCUCACAGCCACUCGCUAGCAUUUUCACAGCCUCUGUGUCAGGGGUUGACGAGGAAAGCACGGGUCCUGCUCUCUCGUGAGGUCGCAGACCCCUCUGUGGCUCCCAGCUUGCUGACGCCUCCCCGUUCCCCUGCGGUCAGCCUGUUCCCUGCUGCUUGAUCCCAUCGCUGGCACUUCAGCAGCUUUUAACCUCAUCUGAAGCUUUGGCUUUGGUGAAACGGAUUUCAAAGGAGAGGGAAAUAAUGUUCCAUUAAAGGCUCUGAAAAGAUUGAUCAUCUGGUUUCUGCACCAUCUCCAAGGCGGAGGAGCCAACGACUGUUGGGACUGAAUUUUCACCCUUCUUGCUCGAGGUUUAGCGUCAACCCCAAGCUAACAGCCACUAAGAGCCGCCGCAGGAGAGGCAGUCAGGGCCCGGGAACAUCUGAGGCUUUGGGAUUCCCGCGCGUCUGAGCCAACGUGCCUCUUGCCGAUUUCCUCUUUGAAAAGAACAACGCUCGAUCACUGAUGCCCCGAACACACAGAUCCCACUCACCCGGCCCCCAGGUGGCUGGGAGAGCCCAAAGGGUGCGGGGCAGGAGGGCACCUGGGGCCUAGUCUCGGCCCCCAAGGCCAUGCCGUCCCCCAUGCUUGCCCUCCCACUGCCUCUCACAGCACCCUCUCCUUCAGGUUGGGGUUCUUUCUUUCCCACCUCCAAGUCAGAUGCUUGACCCCUGCCCCCCCCCGCCCCCCCGCCUUCUCUGCCCCCCCCCGG
ensembl:lincRNA